rnacentral:lncRNA from 1 species
UCAGAUGUCUCCAACUCUGAUGAGAAGAAACAUCAUAAGGGAAAUGAUAAGUUUGACGAGAAUAAGAUUCAAUGUUAUUGUUGUAAGAAGUUUGGUCAUGUUGUUGUUGACUGUUGGUCAAAUAAGGAAAGAAAAUUAGAACAAGAAAACGUAGUCAGAGGAAAGUCUGAUGAUGAACCUGUGUUAUUAAUGGCUUCGGAAUCUAAUGGUGGAUAUUUGGUAGACUU